UACGUAGGGUGCAAGCGUUGUCCGGAAUUAUUGGGCGUAAAGAGCUCGUAGGCGGUUUGUCGCGUCUGCUGUGAAAACUCGGGGCUUAACUCCGGGCCUGCAGUGGGUACGGGCAGACUAGAGUGCGGUAGGGGAGACUGGAAUUCCUGGUGUAGCGGUGAAAUGCGCAGAUAUCAGGAGGAACACCGGUGGCGAAGGCGGGUCUCUGGACAGUUCCUGACGCUGAGGCACGAAGGUCAGGGGAGCAAACGGG
rnacentral:rRNA from 1 species